rnacentral:rRNA from 1 species
GAUGAACGCUGGCGGCGUGCCUAAUACAUGCAAGUCGAGCGAACAGACGAGGAGCUUGCUCCUCUGACGUUAGCGGCGGACGGGUGAGUAACACGUGGAUAACCUACCUAUAAGACUGGGAUAACUUCGGGAAACCGGAGCUAAUACCGGAUAAUAUAUUUAACCGCAUGGUUCAAUAGUGAAAGACGGUUUUGCUGUCACUUAUAGAUGGAUCCGCGCCGCAUUAGCUGGUUGGUAAGGUAACGGCUUACCAAGGCGACGAUGCGUAGCCGACCUGAGAGGGUGAUGGGCCACACUGGAACUGAGACACGGUCCAGACUCCUACGGGAGGCAGCAGUAGGGACUCUACGGAACUGGGCGAAAGCCUGUCGGAGCAACGCCGGGUGAGUGAUGAAGGUCUUCGGAUCGUAAAACUCUGUUAUUAGGGAAGAACAAAUGUGUAAGUAACUAUGCACGUCUUGACGGUACCUAAUCAGAAAGCAACGGCUAACUACGUG